AGCCCCGUCGUCUAGUGGUCAAGGAUAGGAGGCUCUGGACCUCUUGACAGCGGUUCGAAUCCGCUCGGGUCUA
rnacentral:tRNA from 1 species